AUUAAAGAAAUCAUAAGAUGGUGAACUGUAAAUUCACUUAAGAUUUAACACUUUUAACC
rnacentral:tRNA from 1 species